rnacentral:rRNA from 1 species
UACGUAGGGUGCGAGCGUUGUCCGGAAUUAUUGGGCGUAAAGGGCUCGUAGGCGGUUUGUCGCGUCGGGAGUGAAAACCCAGGGCUUAACUCUGGGCUUGCUUUCGAUACGGGCAGACUAGAGGUAUGCAGGGGAGAACGGAAUUCCUGGUGUAGCGGUGAAAUGCGCAGAUAUCAGGAGGAACACCGGUGGCGAAGGCGGUUCUCUGGGCAUGUUCUGACGCUGAGGAGCGAAAGUGUGGGGAGCGAACGGG